rnacentral:lncRNA from 1 species
UUUGGGGGAGUUAAGUGUAAUUAGGAGGGAGUUACUCUUAAGUGGGAAGUUAAGAAAAUAGAAAGUGGGAGUCAGAAACAGUUUUACGUGAAACCAAGCCAAGGAAGAGAAAACCAGGAGCAAGAGAGAAGAACCAGAGGAACCCUUUUUGCUGUGCAUUUUUCAUUCUGAAUUAAGGUGAUCCUGAGUAGUUGGUGGUGGCUCAUUGUCGUGUCUAGGGCUCUGAUACGUGGGAUGGGAACAUUUAUAUUAUUUUAUUGUUGUUUUCCUCCUAUGUAUCAAUUUUUGGAACUUAACGAUGUGGCCCUUUGUUGGUUGACUUUUGUUGUUUAG